GACGAACGCUGGCGGCGUGCUUAACACAUGCAAGUCGAACGGAAAGGCCCUGCUUUUGUGGGGUGCUCGAGUGGCGAACGGGUGAGUAACACGUGAGUAACCUGCCCUUGACUUUGGGAUAACUUCAGGAAACUGGGGCUAAUACCGGAUAGGAGCUCCUGCUGCAUGGUGGGGGUUGGAAAGUUUCGGCGGUUGGGGAUGGACUCGCGGCUUAUCAGCUUGUUGGUGGGGUAGUGGCUUACCAAGGCUUUGACGGGUAGCCGGCCUGAGAGGGUGACCGGCCACAUUGGGACUGAGAUACGGACCAGACUCCUACGGGAGGCAGCAGUGGGGAAUAUUGCACAAUGGGCGGAAGCCUGAUGCAGCAACGCCGCGUGCGGGAUGCCGGCCUUCGGGUUGUAAACCGCUUUCGCCUGUGACGAAGCGUGAGUGACGGUAAUGGGUAAAGAAGCACCGGCUAACUACGUG
rnacentral:rRNA from 1 species